ensembl:snRNA U1 U1 spliceosomal RNA
AUACUUACCUGGCAGGGGAGAUACCAUGAUCAUGAAGGUGGUUUUCUCAAGGCAAGGCUUAUCUAUUGCACUCUGGAUGUGCUGACCCCUGCGAUUUCCCCAAACCCUAGAAACUUGACUGCAUAAUUUGUGGUAGUGAGGGACUGCAUUUGAGUUUUCCCCUA